UUUAGUUUUUUCUUUGAUUAGGACGUUGGUCCAUUUUUUCUUAAGUAUUCUGAAUACUCAAAAAUAUAAAAAAUAUUUUCUAAAAAAAAUUUUUUGUAAAAAAAAUGGAGUCUUAAUUUUUAAUUAAUUUCUCUUCACAUUAAUUUUAGAUAUAAAAAUUAAAGAUAUGUUUAACAUUACAUUUGAAAUUAAUUUAUGAAAAUAGAUUCGUAUAAACUUUAAUUAACUAGAUUAUUUAACUUAAUAAUAAAGUUAAGGGUAUCAAGAUUUGAAAAUUUUAGUCCAAUUAAUUAGACAAAUUAUAAAAUUUUAUAGCCAAGAUAUUUCAAAUGUAGUUUCUAAUUUAUGAUUAUUAACUGAAAUGGAAACGCCAACACUUAACACCACCCAUAUGCAAAUUACUUACGUAUAUCAUCAUCGCUAAACGGCUUGGAGUCGGCGAUCUCGUCUGGCGGCAAGGUGAAGCCGGUGAAGGAGAAAGACAAGCCCAAGCUGGCACUGGAGGCUCGGCUCAAAGCUGCUCCGCUGCAGACGUCAUCUAAGUCAAACUUCAUCUGUGCACUCCUUGACUUUCUUAUGUGUGUGUUCUUGCCACCUGCACCACCGCGCCCGGGUGACGCUGCCAUCAUCAACCGUUUGCUGGACUUCCUCGACAGAUUUCCACUGCCCUCCGACACUCCUCCCGAAACCUCAUUCUUUGGCGGAGAUUUAUACGCCGCCGCCACAGCCUCCACCAAUUGCUCUGAUUUUGUUCUCACUAAACUGGAAACGCUUGCUUUCUCCAUGCUACAAUCUUCAGCAAGAAACACUUUCCUUUCCCUUAUCUUUUUCUGCUGCUAAAAGUGAAGGAACUUGGGAGAGAAGAUGAUAAAAGUAGGUGAUCUC
rnacentral:misc_RNA from 1 species